AUCUGCAAAAAUUAUAAUAAUUUUAAUGCUAUUAGGGGUAAAUUUGUUUAAUCUAUCAAAAAAUAUAUUUUAAUUACGUUUUAAAAUCAAAUUCGUUCAAAAUUUACAGACCCUGUUAUUUUUUUAGUCUUGAUAAGUAUAAAAAGCCAACAUAAUCAACAAAAAAAGUUUAAAAAGUAGAACUUUUUCUUCAUGCAUCUUGCAUGAAUAGCUGGUAAGUGUGUCCCAAGACAUGGCUUCAAAAUUGUUUAAAAUAUACACAUUUAAGACAUAUUUUCCUAAAUUUGGAAUUUUGAAAAAAAAAUCAAGUUUUGUGGACUUUUCUUCUUGGACUAGUGCAGUAAAAUUGCCCAUCUACAAAAAAAGUUUGUGACAUGUCUGGUCAUUGCAACUAUGCAUUUAAGGAUGACUUGGCAUCAUUGUAUUUAAUAUAUGAUAAUAAUACAGAAGAACCAAAUCUGAUAAAUCACUCAUUUUCUCAGAAACUAUUAUUAUGAAUUUAAAAUGUUUGUAAAGAAAAAAAAAUAUUUGGUUUAAAAACACUUCAAUGAUAUGUAGUAAAAUAAUAUAUAUUUUAAUCCGUUCAAAGAUAAAAACCCUAUCUUUCAAUAAAUGUUAAAUACAUUAAAAGCCGUGCCUACGUCUUAAAAUAUAUUGCAACUGAU